rnacentral:rRNA from 1 species
ACCAGAAUGGGCGAAGGCGACUCUCUGGGUCUGUAACUGACGCUGAGGCGCGAAAGCGUGGGGAGCGAACAGGAUUAGAUACCCUGGUAGUCCACGCCGUAAACGAUGAGUGCUAAGUGUUAGAGGGUUUCCGCCCUUUACUGCUGCAACAAACGCAUUAAGCACUCCCCCCGGGGAAUACGGUCCCAAGAGUGAAACUCAAAGGAAUUGACGGGGGCCCCCACAAACGGUGGAACAAGUGGUUUAAUUCCAAGCAACGCCAAAAACCUUACCAGGUCUUGACAUCCUCUGACAACCCUACAGAUAGGGCUUCCCCUUCGGGGGCACAGUGACAGGUGGUGCAUGGUUGUCGUCAGCUCGUGUCGUGAGAUGUUGGGUUAAGUCCCGCAACGAGCGCAACCCUUGAUCUUAGUUGCCAGCAUUCAAUUGGGCACUCUAAGGUGACUGGGGUGACAACCGGAGGAAGUGGGGAUAACGUCUAAUCAUCAUGCGCCUUAUGACCUGGGCUACACACGUGCUAUAAUGGGCAGAACAAAGGGCAGCGAAGCCGCGAGGCUAGGACAAUCCCACAAAUCUGUUCUCAGUUCUGAUAGCAAUCUGCAACUCUACUGCGUGAAGCUGGAAUCUCUAGUAAUCUCGGAUCACCAUGCCGCGGUGAAUACGUUCCCGGGCCUUGUAGCACCGCCCGUCACACCACGAGAGUUUGUACACCCGAAGUCGGUGAUGUACCUUUUGAGCCAGACGCAAAUGUGGACAAUGAUGGGGGUAAGCUAAGGACCGGAA